AAAAGGAAGGUGGAGGCCUCAUUUCUUGACCAACUUUCAUCAUUAAAUAGCCAAAUUCAUUGCAAGAGAAAAAGGAGGAAGAGAUUGGAGUCCAUAGCAGAAAAAUAGAGAGUGAGCUACGGGAGAAAGCUUGAAGCUGCAGAAAUGUAGCUCUUUCAUCUCCCUAGUGUUAGUUUAGCUUAGUAUAGAGUAGUGUAGCUUUUCCAUUCUUGUUUAUUAUCUAGAUUAGGAUGAAGAUGGAGGAUGAAGAAGGCAAGGAAGAAAGCUCAUAUGACAAGGGCAUAGAGAUGAAAUUUUAAAUGAUAUGAACAGACAAUUGAUCCAUGGCGGACCACAUAUUCUGCUUGUAGACAAAUACACUAUUUGUUAAGGGUGUCCGGGUCAAGACUCGAAGGCAGCCCGACUAAUCCCCUCCGCCUGGAGUACAGCGUCAUCCCAACUGCACCCAGGCGUUAAGUGAGGUUUGACCCCACGACCUGCGAGUGCCGGAAGCAGCUACAGACCGCGUGAUCUAGCCCCGGGGCAAUUAUUUUUGAUACCUGUCUACGUAUUUCUGGUGUUUACAAUUAAAGUAGCAGGCAAGUUUGAAACUUCCACUUCACUGCUCCUCCCAAUCAAUCGCAAUCCCAUAUUAAAACAGGCAGUACUAGUAAUGUACGGCCAUUC